rnacentral:rRNA from 1 species
AGGGUUCGAUUAUGGCUCAGGAUGAACGCUGGCGGCGCGCCUAACACAUGCAAGUCGAACGGUUAAAGCACCUCCGGGUGUGGAUAAAGUGGCGAACGGCUGAGUAACACGUGGGCAACCUGCCCCUCGCUCCGGGACAGCCUCGGGAAACCGUGGGUAAUACCGGAUACUCCCUUGCCCGCACAUGCGGGGGAGGGGAAAGCCCAGACGGCGAGGGAUGGGCCCGCGGCCUGUUAGCUAGUUGGCGGGGCAACGGCCCACCAAGGCGAUUAUGGGUAGCCGGGUUGAGAGACCGACCGGCCAGAUUGGGACUGAGACACGGCCCAG